rnacentral:rRNA from 1 species
CAACUUCCAACGGUGGAUCUCUCGGCUUGUGCAUCGAUGAAGAACGCAGCAAAAUGCGAUACCUAGUGCGAAUUGCAGAAUUCAGUGAAUCAUAGAGUCUUUGAACGC